AUGGGGAGCGAAAAUUAUAGUAGCGAAGGUCAUGAUCUCACACUGCCAAGAAAAGCCUCUAGCCAGGUGAUGGUGCCCGUACCGCAAACCGACACAGGUAGGCGAGAAGAGAAUUCUAAGGCGCGCGGAAGAACUCUCGUUAAGGAACUCGGCAAAAUGACCCCGUAACUUCGGGAGAAGGGGUGCCCCGGUAGUGUGAAUAGCACGAGGGGGCCGCAGUGAAAAGGCCCAAGCGACUGUUUAGCAAAAACACAGGUCUGUGCGAAGCCGUAAGGCGAAGUAUACGGGCUGACGCCUGCCCGGUGCUGGAAGGUUAAGGGGAGCGGUUAGGAGCAAUCCGAAGCUGUGAACCGAAGCCCCAGUAAACGGCGGCCGUAACUAUAACGGUCCUAAGGUAGCGAAAUUCCUUGUCAGGUAAAUUCUGACCCGCACGAAUGGCGUAACGACUUGGGCGCUGUCUCAACGAGAGAUCCGGUGAAAUUUUAAUACCUGUGAAGAUGCAGGUUACCCGCGACAAGACGGAAAGACCCCAUGGAGCUUUACUGCAGCUUGAUAUUGAAUUUGGGUACGAUCUGUACAGGAUAGGUGGGAGCCUUUGAAGCGUGAGCGCCAGCUUGCGUGGAGGCACCGUUGGGAUACCACCCUGAUCGUAUCUAGGUUCUAACCUGGUACCGUAAUCCGGUGCGGGGACAGUGUCAGGUGGGCAGUUUGACUGGGGCGGUCGCCUCCUAAAGAGUAACGGAGGCGCCCAAAGGUUCCCUCAGAAUGGUUGGAAAUCAUUCGAAGAGUGCAAAGGCAUAAGGGAGCUUGACUGCGAGACCUACAAGUCGAGCAGGGACGAAAGUCGGGCUUAGUGAUCCGGUGGUACCGCAUGGAAGGGCCAUCGCUCAACGGAUAAAAGCUACCCUGGGGAUAACAGGCUUAUCUCCCCCAAGAGUCCACAUCGACGGGGAGGUUUGGCACCUCGAUGUCGGCUCAUCGCAUCCUGGGGCUGAAGUAGGUCCCAAGGGUUGGGCUGUUCGCCCAUUAAAGCGGUACGCGAGCUGGGUUCAGAACGUCGUGAGACAGUUCGGUCCCUAUCUGUCGUGGGCGUAGGAAAUUUGAGAGGAGCUGUCCUUAGUACGAGAGGACCGGGAUGGACGUACCGCUGGUGUACCAGUUGUUCCGCCAGGAGCACCGCUGGGUAGCUAUGUACGGAAGGGAUAAGCGCUGAAAGCAUCUAAGCGUGAAGCCCCCCUCAAGAUGAGAUUUCCCAGUAUGUAAGACCCCUUGAAGACGACGAGGUAGAUAGGCUGGGGGUGGAAGUGCAGCAAUGCAUGGAGCUGACCAGUACUAAUCGGUCGAGGGCUUAUCCAA
rnacentral:rRNA from 1 species